rnacentral:rRNA from 1 species
AUUGAACGCUGGCGGCAGGCCUAACACAUGCAAGUCGAACGAGUGGCGGACGGGUGAGUAAUGGCUGGGAAACUGCCCGAUGGAGGGGGAUAACUACUGGAAACGGUAGCUAAUACCGCAAACCAUCGGAUGAGCCCAGAUGGGAUUAGGUAGUAGGGGGGGUAAGGGGUCACCUGGGCGUCGAGCCCUAGCUGGUCUGAGAGGAUGACCCGCCACACUGGGAAUGAGACACGGCCCAGACUCAGACGGGAGGCAGCAGUGGGGAAUUUUGGUCAAUGGGUGAAACCCUGAUCCAGCCAUCCCGCGUGUGCGAUGAAGGCCGUCGGGUUGUAAAGCACUUUUGGCAGGAAAGCGGUACCUGCAGAAUAAGCACCGGCUAACUACGUGCCGGCAGCCGCGGUAAUAC